rnacentral:rRNA from 1 species
CCUACGGGAGGCAGCAGUGGGGAAUUUUGGACAAUGGGGGCAACCCUGAUCCAGCCAUUCCGCGUGAGUGAAGAAGGCCUUCGGGUUGUAAAGCUCUUUCGCAAGGGAAGAAAACUUAUGAUCGAAUAAAUCAUGAGGUUGACGGUACCUUGAUAAGAAGCACCGGCUAACUACGUGCCAGCAGCCGCGGUAAUACGUAGGGUGCGAGCGUUAAUCGGAAUUACUGGGCGUAAAGCGUGCGCAGGCGGUUUUGUAAGUCGGAUGUGAAAUCCCCGGGCUCAACCUGGGAACUGCGUUCGAAACUGCAAGGCUAGAGUGUGUCAGAGGGGGGUAGAAUUCCACGUGUAGCAGUGAAAUGCGUAGAGAUGUGGAGGAAUACCAAUGGCGAAGGCAGCCCCCUGGGAUAACACUGACGCUCAUGCACGAAAGCGUGGGGAGCAAACAGGAUUAGAUACCCUGGUAGUCCACGCCCUAAACGAUGUCAACUAGUUGUUGGUAGAGUAAAAUCUAUGAGUAACGUAGCUAACGCGUGAAGUUGACCGCCUGGGGAGUACGGUCGCAAGAUUAAAACUCAAAGGAAUGACGGAAUCGUCGACUGCAGACGGCUCG